rnacentral:lncRNA from 1 species
GCGGGAUGAUUGGCGUCCGAGCGCUGGGCUGUUCCGUGGACCCGCGCGGCCACGCCAGUGUGCUGUGCACGGGAAAUGUGGACGUGGGAGCACGGAGGCACCCAGUACUGUGGCGUGGUGCUCGUCUGGUCGUCAGCGAGCCUCAGCGUACUUAGGACACCGCAGUUUAUCUUUCCUUAGCGCUCCUAACGGUUAUGGAAAAUAGCGCUUGAAAACCUGGUAAGGACUAGGCAUUGUUGCUCAACUCUUGACAUUUACACCUUUGCCGGUAACUCUCCCUGUUUCACAGAUGGGGAAACGGAGGCUCACACUUAUUCAGUCUCUCUUGAGAUCCACCUGAUUCGUGAGAGGUAGAGCCAGGAUUUCAUUCUUGCCCGUCGAUGGCAUAUGUUAGUGCCUAUGUUGGGGGAGGCAGACUGCCCCAGCCCUCCCCAACACACGCAAUGGUUAUGAGAAGAAAUAAAGCGAAGGGUGUUCCUGAGAUUGACCCCAUGACCUACACUUAGUACAAGGCUAAGCUCUCUUAGCUCUCUGGCUUAGCAAUAAACUGCUUUGAAGACACAGAACUUUGCACUUGAGAGCCGGAAGAGACCUUGGGAAUCCCGGGUUCCAUCCUUUCUUCCACCUUGUAUACAGGUGAAUGCACUGUGGCCCAGAGAUAGGAAGUGACCAGCAAUCCAGCCACUUUAAAAGAUUUUUAAAAACAAGAGCCCUAGAAACGUCUACUCCAUUCCAUUUAUCAAGUAAAACAAGCAUAGACAGAACUGGCAGUUCUACAUCUUAACACAGAAUCCUUCUUGGUCCAGCACCCGCCUGGGUCACCUCCUCUUCCUGGAUUCAGCUACUGUUAACGGAAGAAACCAUGAAGCCUCAGAAGGUUAGAGCCAAAGGGACUCUACUGUGUAGCCCCAAUCACCUUCUUUUACAGUUAAGAGCCUGGAACCCAGAGAGGUUGAGUGACUUGGCCAAGACCCCCUGGAGGCAGAGGAGAGCAGAACCAAUGUUUCAGACUCCCACAUGACUUGCGCAUCAGUGUCUUUUUUUUGACAAUCUGUUGCUAUAAGAAAUUACUCGUUUGGAUAAUUUUCACACUAGAAAACCCUGUGACCCAAGGCUAGCAUUGAGAAGCUAAAGCUGGCCACUGACAUACUGUGAUUUUAAGGACAGUCUCCUUCGAAAUUAUCUGCCUUUCAAAAUCUUUGCCAUUGGAGACACUGGUUGGGGUUAUGUUAGUCUUCCUUAAGGAGGGCUCUACUAAAAUGCCAGACUAGGCCGGGCAUGGUGGCUCAUGCCUGUAAUCCCAGCACUUUGGGAGUCCAAGGCAGGUGGAUUGCCUGAAAUUAGGAGUUCAAGACCAGCCUGACCAACAUGGUGAAACCCCAUCUCUAUUAAAAAUACAAACACUAGCUGGACAUAGUGGCUUUUUUGUGCCUGUAAUCCCAGCUACUCAGGAGGCUGAGACAGGAGAAUUGCUUGAACCCGGGAGGUGGAGGUUGCAGUGAGCCGAGAUCACGCCAAUGGACUCCAGCCUGAGCAACAGAGUGAGACUCCAUCUCAGAGAGAGAGAGAAGAAAAGCCAGACUAGUCAACAUUCAGACAUACAAGACGGAGAUCACCAUGCGAACCCAGCCUGGCCCUUAGAUGUGUGUGCUCGAGCCAGGAUCAUCCAGAGUCUGAUAGCGCCUGCACCCCAACACGGUUGGAUUCCAGGACGCCAGUGCCAAACCCAGAGAAAGGACAACCAGCUUCCAUGCAUUUGCAUUUAAUUUUUAAAAACAAUACAUAUUUCAGUGUUAACUUCCUCCCCUCACCUGGCUUGAAAUAUUUUCCCCAUUUUCUAGGGAAACAAAAUCUACCAAAAGGUGCCGCCUGCAAGACCCCGGGCCCAGCCACUUCUGGAGGGUGGUGCUGUGUGGACUCCUCUGGGGCCAGGACAGGGCCCCUUCCUGGGCUCCUCUUCAGAUGCAGCUUUGCCACUGUUUGUAUCUGUUGCUUAGAAAAUCGUCUUUAAUGUUUCAAGUGAGGAAAGGGUUUCCAGUCACCUCCUAGAUUUCACACCGGGACACACACCUGGGUCAGGUGAGCAUGACAGAGCCCCCAGGAUGGGCACCUGACUCUGCAGACCAGAGGCCAGUGCCGGUGGGGGCCAUGGCAGUGCCCUGGGCACACACACUCUGCACACUGUGGGCUCAGUGGUUCCUUCUGUGCACCUGCUAGGAAAGCUCCUGAAGGUCCCUGCCCGACUUGUCAAGAAAUCAGAAGCCGUUUUAGAGCCACAUUUUAUUGUACUUGUUGCUUCACCGCUGGACAGCAGCAUGACAUGCUUUGUGCAUGAUGUAUACAUAUACAUACAUGUACACACAAGGACACACCACAGCCUGCACUCACAGCAUGUGACAACACGAACCGUUGCUGGUAAGGACAGUAAAAAUGUAGCUUUUGCCAAUUCCACAGGACAAUGACUCACAACCAAAAUAACAGGCACAGAUCAGUCCUGCGCCACACUAUUUGGGUUCCCAGCUCCAAAUACUGGGAGUGAGAUCAGUGACUUCGUGUCCCCUCAUGAGAUGUCCCCACAGUAGGAUGCACUGAGCCAGAGCUAAGGGAGGGCGGACAAGCCCCACGUUGAACUCUGCCUGCAGCACCUGGACCCUCCCGGGGCAGCCUGCAUGCUGAUGCCCCUGCAGCACAAGGCUCGCCCGGAACAGAACGCCCUGGGCUCGGCAGGACAACGGGUGCCACCACUGGCAACACGUAGCACCUGAGAGCAGCCUCGACUGCGUGAGGCUCCAGGGCCUUCCCUGGAUGGCAGCAGCUGACGUGGAGAUGAAGCUUCCUGCUGGGCACAUGCACAUGCCAGUUUCUUUUCCUAAUAGGUCCCCACUGGGUGCUGGCUGCAUCAACUGAACAUCAGAGAACUAGGAAAGUUCACAAACACUGAGCAGUAGUAUCUAAAGCAGUUUAAAAAUAAAGCCAAAAGGAAGACCAAAAAAUCCCUCAUCACUGAGCGGAGACAAAUCUACAUACCAGCAGCUGCCUUGAAAGGGCCGGCGGGGCCGCUCCCAUGCCUCCUGCAGGUCAGAAGCAAUCAGUGCUGCCUGGACCCCCUUGUGAACCGAACAUGCCUCAAAAACACGACGACCCCAGCAGGCCCCUGGCAGCACCCAGCAGCAGCGUCCAAUGGGACGUUCUGUGCCCAUGGCCACAGUGGCUCACAAGCAUCAUCCGCAGCCCAAGAGUGAGGAGUCAGGGUCCUGUCACUGCCACCAGCAGGCAGGGGUGCUGGGGGCAUUCUGAUCUGUUAGCAUGUGGACAAGGAGGCGCGUAAGCUGCCCCCGGGGACUCACCACCUCUUUUAAUUAAUAGGGAAACAGUCCACUCAAGAAAAAGAGAAAACCUGGGAAGUUCUUUUUCCUGAAUUAAGACAAGGCCUUAAAACCUAAAGGGCAGAACACCGGAAACAGUUUUGCUUCCAGGUCAGGCAGUGGGAGGAACUCCAGGCCCCGAGUGUCUGGGCUUCCUAGGUGUCUUAUAAUCACAAUCACCACUGUGAGAAUUUUCAUGGCCAUGAUUUAUUUAGGUUUUACAAAUUCUGUAGGAACUGGGUUCCACAAACCUCCAGACCUGCUCCUCUUUCCCACCCUACCCCACCCUUUGCGGGGAGCUGCAUGGUUCUAAAAAAUGGUCCAUUGGACUCUGUAACUGAAAAGCCACCUGGCAAGGGGCCCACUUUGAUGGGUACCAAAGGGCCUUGGAGUGUUCUAGCCACAGAGCUGUGUGCAGGCACAACAGAGGGCCUGGUGGGGCUGAGCCAGGCCCCCUGACAGGUGGCUUUCUACUUUAGGUCCAAGCUUAGAACCUGGCUCUUGGCCAGUCUGGGGAAAAAUAACUCACUUCCUAAGCUACAUCUGCAAAAAUUGCAAAGGCUGAGUACAGCCAGCAUUUGAGGCUGAACUUGCUGCUGUGUUGAACGGCACGGAGGCACCCCAACGUCUCGCUGCCUCGCAUUUCAGGAUGGGCCAAACAAUGAAUUUCUUAUUCUUUUAGGAGAGGUCUGAUUUUGACAAAUUAUUUCUAAUUUAAUAUCACAGUGCAUAGCUCUCCUCUCAUCAAAGGUCUUCAUGAUCAUUUUAGGGAGAAAAACCAAAGAAAAGUGAGACAAACAAAACUGCCCCAGGACUUGGUGCUGGCAGCCAGCUCAUCACCCACAUGGGGAUCCGCAAUAGGGGUCAGCUGGGGGCCCUCAACCAGCACCCCGCUCCUAAGCACGUCCAGAUUUGUCCUCACCCAUGUCCCUUCUGGCAACUUCCUGGUCAACCUCAACCCACCCCUCUGCACAGCCUUGGGUGGGCCGCUGAGGGCCAUGAGUGAGCUGGGGCCAUGAGUCAGCAGGCAGGCCGGGAAAAAGGGCCUCAGGAGACUCAUCUGGUUGGUCCCAGCCAGAGCCACCACACACAGCCUCUUCCUCAGCUUCAUCUCUGCUGAGAACUCUGCAGCGGCCACCAUGGAUGUUCUGCAGAAGCCAGGCCCACUGAGUCUGCAGCAUGGGGCCAAAGGCAGGCCCAGCAUAUCCCGUGAGCCACAGAGUGGGGGCAGCUCUGAGCCCUCGGCCAGCACAGGGACAUCAGACCCGUUUCCCCCACUCCUCUACCCAGGGCGCCACCAACAAGGUCUAGGACAGACAAAAGACUGACUUCCAAUGGUCCACACGUGGAUUCCGUGGUCUGGCUGCUGGCCUCCCAGGGACCCAACCCUUCUGAGCCAGAGGGGUCACUCUGGUCCAGUCAGUCCUUCCUCCAGGGACAUAACGAAUCUGGCUCUGCCUGAAUCAUCGAUGACAGGGCAAAGGCAACUGGAGCAGAUGGGAGCUCUGGCAAACACGGGAGGAGGGUCUUGGAAGAGCCCCCGUCCCCAGCGGCUAGAUGCUUACACAUGGACGAUCUACUCUCCUGACUGUGGCUCAUCAGGCUGGUGCUACCAUCUGUGGUUGUAAAGGUCCAAAGAGGGCUACGGAAAGGACAGGUGGGCUGGAAGGAAUGUGGAGAAUGACCCCAGGACAGGGGAGGAGGAGACUGGCCCCAUCAAUCCAGUUCACAGCCGGGAAAAGUGCAGGAAGACAGACAAACGACCCCAAUGUGGGCGAAGGACACACCUCCAAGGACUGGAGCCGCAGAGUCCACGUGACAAGGAGACCCAGGAUAGAAACACUGUGCGGAGGACACGGUGUCAACCUCGGAAGGGGCCUCCUAUGCUUUCCACACCAAAUUCCCCCACGGGAGAAACCCUGCCACAAGGCCCAGGAAACCACAGACCCCAAGCCAACUGUGCCUAGCACAGACACCAAGGAAUGACAGCGAUGCCAGUGACGCCAGGAGGACUUGGCCCCUAGCCCCAUCAUCGGCUGUAUGAUGAUCGGUGUGUCUGCGGCCUCCCUCUCGUCAGACUGCAGCCUUGGGGGACACGUAGAACUCUGUCUCCUCGCCCUCAGGGGCCUUGAGCUUACACUUCCCGCAGCACAGCAGCGGUUGAAGCAGCACCACAGACAGCAGCAGCAGUAGCAGCAGGUGAGGAGGCUGCAGAAGACAAACAGGGCCUUGGCCCCCCCGGCUGGACAGCACGAGGACCGCCGAGCUUUGCUGAGGCAUCAUGGUGGGACUUAAAGAAGUAUCUUGGCCGGGCGCAGUGGCUCACACCUAUAAUCCCAGAACUUUGGGAGGAUGAGGCAGGAGGAUCAAUUGAGUCACGGAGUUCAAGACCAGCCUGGGCAACAGAGUGAGACUCUGUCUCUACAACAAAUUUUAAAAAAAUUAGUCAGGAAAAACAAAGAUCCCCAAAGUCCAUUUCGCUCCGAGGUCAGUGGACACAGCUCUGUGACUGUCCUGUGCUGUGUGGGUCUGUAGAAGGGCCAGUCAUGGGCCAUCGAGCUACUCACAGCCAACUGCACCCAAGUCCAAGCCUGGCUCUGUUCCCAUACACAGAGACAGGAUGGGGGCUGCUGAUCUGGCCUGAAGCCUUGCUCUGGGCACUGAAAACGGGGGCUAUUUCCUUACCUGAAGAUCUGGAAGCAGCAUGUUGACAAAAGCACCAACUGCUCUGCCAUCACGUCCCACUGGGUGUCAGUGGGAAGGCCUAACCAAGGCCUGCCUCCAGUGGCUAUCAGGCAGACGGGCCAGCAGUUCCCCUCCAGGAGCAAGGGACCCUUCUUACCCUUUUGAUCACAUUUCCCUCUCUUAAAGGGGCACUGCUGUGGGAAGGGGUCAUGCCUUGGAUCCUACAGUCAUGGACUGUGGGUGAAACAGGGGCUCUUGACUCUUCACUUCCUAGCCAUAACUCUGCCCAUUGGACCACCCACCCUCCCUGCUGCUGGUCUCCUGGCUCACCCAUCAAAUCCAACUGCUUUAUCUAGAAAAUACUUUUCUCCAUUCUCAUUUCCCUUUGCUUUCCCACUCACCUCUGUUUUUGUUUCUGUUUUAUUUUGUUCCAGACACCCUUUUCAGGGAAGUAGAUCAGGGAGGCCCAAGAGAUUAGGCCUGGGUGGGCUGCUAUCGCUUAAGAACACGUCUGCCUCUGGGGCUCCUCCCUAACAGCUGGCCUCUGGAGCUGGGAGAUGCAGCUGCCUGGCAGUCUGCAGAGGCAGAUUGUGUUGUUACGUGCUGGUCACCGCCUUGAGCCUUAAACCACAGUCAGCAAUGAACCUGGAGGCAGGGCAUCUCUGGGGAUGAUCGACCGCAUCUGCUCAGGUUCUUGCAGGGCAGGGCAGGCAGAGAUGUGUGUUUGGAGCCAGAAAGCCUUCCUGCCAACCUGCCAUGCCUCAGUUUCCCUAUCUGAACCACCUUCAUAAAAACAACUUACGGCUCUCAGAGCAGCACAUUUGUAAAAACCUGAAAAAUAUAAAGAAAAACGUCACUCACAUUUCUCCCAUGAACAUUUUCCUAUUUUAUGUAUCUUUUAUGUAACUGAAUCACAUUGCAUAUACAAUUAUGUGUUCCAUUUUUAAACAAUAAGCUUCCCUUGUUUUAAAAGUAAUAAUCCAUGUUUAUUAUGUGUUAUUGCAUAGAAAUUUCAGACACAAAAAAAGAAAGGAAAAAUGACUCCUUAUUGCUCCAUUGAGAAAUAAUAAAUAUGAAUAUUAUUCUGAUAAA